GCGAUUCCACGCUCAUCCCCUCUGAAUGCUUCAUCGGCGGCGCUAUCAGCCUUGCUCCGCCGUCUCACUGAACCUCCAUUGCACUCAACUUCCAUCGGCUUUGCUCGCAUCCCGUCGUACCCCUUCCCGGUUCAUCUUCGUCGCACCCCUUCCGUCGGUCUUGCUCGCAUCGCUCCCUUUCGAACCCUAAUGUCUGUUUCUCUCUUCGUUCUCACCACUAGUGCUUGCUCUUUCCGUGUGUUGCUGUGUUUCUCUCUUCGAUCUUGCCUCGGUUGUGCAGGAUUCGGAGAACAAAAGCUCUAAAGAUAAGAAGAAGAAAAGCCUAGGAAAACCAAGGCAUGGAGAGACCAAUUCAUUCAUCCCCCUCUUCAGAGAGCCAAGCAGCAUUGAGAAAAUCUUUGACGACUUCGAAAGAGAGCAACAAUGACUAUCUGUAAGGCCUCUAACGCCUCUCAAGCAACCAAAACCAGCCCCUGUUGUCCCUCCUAGAGCUGCUUCUCCAAGGGCUCCUUCUUCGAGGGCUCCAUCUCCAAGAGCUGCGUCUUUUAUUGAGAAUGUUCGAGGAGAUGGGCUUCAAGGUUGAUCACUCCAGUCCUAUAUAUAAGCGCUUUCGUCUGAAAAUACUUGGCCCAUUUGAAUCCGGAAUAACUAGUACUGGUUCGCCAGCAUCUGGUGGAAAAGGUGAAUUUAACAAAGGCAGAAAGGGAGACAAGGUUGCAAAUGAUAGCCUUCAAAAAGCCCAUCAAACCCUGGAAUUGAUCAAAAACUUCCAAAAAAUAUCAAAUGCCUAAUGGGAGGGAACGAGGGAAUGAGGGAAUGAGAGAUGUUAUGUUAGGCCAAUUUCCCUUUGCCAAGAUAUAAAGCAUUUAAUUAGGCAACACACCCAGAGAGGUUGUUAUCACCAGCUUAGCUGGGCUGGUGCAACAAGAAGACUACCUCGAUUGAUCAGUAAGGCAAUAGCAAAGGAUCUUAUAUUGACCGGUCGAAGGGUUUACGGCAGAGAAGCUAAGGCUCUAGGACUUGCCAACUACUGUAUGUGUUCCUGCUGGUGAAGCUUACACAAAGGCACUUGAGGUUGCCAGGAAUAUCAAUGAGAAGUUGGCAAUGAUUAGAGAAAGCAAUCUAAUAUAGUGAGGCUGGAAGCUCUCGGAAUAUCAUCAUUGUUGGGUUAUCAUUGUUUUUCUCUCUUUCCAUACCUGCCUACUUUCAACAAUAUGGUCUCUCUCCAUCCAACAUGUCAGUGCCGAAUUAUUUCCAGCCUUAUGUUGUGGCUUCUCAUGGACCUAUACAGAGCAAGAAUGGAGGGGUCUGGAGAAUGGGGAGAUCAUUUGACAUUGCAGGCAGCUGCUGAUAAGGUUUGCUAUGCAGAGAUAUUUGCUCUCAUUCCCUAAGAAUUGGAUCUCACUCAAUCUGACAAAUAACUUGUAUGCAUGUUUGUUUUUAUGCAUUCUGUGCAUGACCAUGAUUGAAGAGCAUGCAAGCAUCUCUCUUAAAUGUGAGUGUUCCUGAAGAACAAAUUAAAUGUGCUUCAAGAGCAUGCAAGCAUCUCUCUCUCUUGCAGUUCUGUUUUAAAGUUGUGUUUUUGUUAUCCUCUUUCACUUUUUCUUAAUCCUAUAAAACAUUGCUAGGCUUCUGAAAUCUAUCCAUAUCCUAUUUUUUGACACCGGGGAAUUGCAUAUGCUCAGUCCAAUGUAAACAAAUCAAAGAAGAAGAACUAGAUGAACAAAUACUUUCAAGUUUCAGCCACACAAGAGUCUACCAUGGAGUGAAAAAUCAUGUAACUCAGAUUAGAUUGGAGAGUUUAAACUUUAAAGAGAGCAUGAGGAAAUAGUUUUAAAAUUUAGGUUGAAAGUCCUGCCCUUCUCUGUUGUAGUUUAAAAGAAAUUUUGGGGUAUUUUUUUAUCGAGACAGUGAGAUAUUGAAUAAUGGUGUUGAAAAAUAACAUCCAAUUUUAUAGGUAUCAUGUAAUGAAUAUUAUGUUUAUCUAUGUGAUUUUUGGCUUUCAUUUUUUCAA